UGAAUUUUUUUAUGAAUAAGUUUAUAGUGUUAAAAAUCUUAAAUCAUUUAAGAUUUGCUCACGUAAAAUGUGUUGUGAUAUACAUGUGUCAUGCAAUGUUUGUGCCUUAUCGUGCCCCAAAAUUAAUAGCGUACUCAUUAUAAUCAUGUUGUGUUUGUUGCAAACCGCCACAAUUAAAACCUUUAAUCCAAAUACAGCCUAAAUAUUUUAAUAGAAUCCAAGAAAGAGUCAAAUGAGUGAAAUGACAAUAAUACCAACAAGGCAACAACAUUUAUUAUAAGCUGAGUUCACGAACUUUUAAAAAUACAUUAAAAACUAAAAACUCUUACGCCAAGCCACGUACCAACAACUUCACUCUUUUUUUUCUUCUUUUUUCUGAGCUAAUGGACAGGAAUUAUUUAGUCUCCAAAAAUUCAUAUCCCUCCUUGUCUCGACGCACUUUUAGUUGUACGGUCUAGUUAGAAUCUCAAAAUACUCAAAUUUUAAGAAACUAUUGUACAACUCAAAUCACAUCGCGAUUGCAGAAAGUAAUUUUAAGAGAGAGUAUCCUGUGCCUUAACUUCUGUAAAAAAUGUUUAUUAGGGUAAUUCAAAUACCCUUAGCAAAUUACAUACCCUUAGCAAAAUACACGCUCCAUCCAGUUCCAUACCUAGAACAUGUAAACAACAUUAAUUAAUAAACAGUAGCACCAUAGGGAUAGAUAUUGAAUUUUUCAUCUUUGAAGAACUUUCUUCACCUAUAAAUCAAAAUUUAAGCUAUUUCCAGUUUUAUUUGACGAGAUGAGCCUAGAAAAUUAGAAAAAUCUUGAUCAAAAAUCAAAAAAAUACACUGAAGGCAAAAAAUCCGGUUUUUACUUCAUUUGGGUUAUUUUUUUUCUUUAAUAAAGUUUUUUUCCAUAUAAGACCAUUUUUUUUUACUUGUUUAAUUAUAUAAUAUAAAUUUUGAUCAACGUCAUUACCUCCAAAUAAUUAAAAUCAAAACAGCUAAAUUACCUUCAUAUUACUUGGAUUUGGACUCUAGGAUUUUCUUAAUAGCGUCUGCCAUGGCUUGAAUAUUGAGGCCAAAAUAAUUGGAGAGAUAAUCAGGUGUCUGUCCUGACAACGGAUCAGAUUCAUAAGUCCACUCGAGCUCGCACCCGAGCUCAUUGCAGCCGUGGAUCGGCAAUACUUUGACGGUUGACUUGCAGUAUGUGAAUCCCACGUUGUUCUCCAAUAUCUGAUAGGUAAAGCUGUACUUGGCCGGGUCAAUGUCAAGUAACUUCUCGUGGAACCACUGGAUCGCAAUCUCGUUUUCGCCCGAUGGUAACGCGGUCGUCGUGUGAGCGCUGCAGAAGCGGACGAGUCCGGCGUGUCCGUACACGCCUUCCAGAGCGUAGGAUAUGUCGACGUUAGGGUCUAUUUUGUACAAAUUGCCAAAGUCCUCGAAGAAAGGCCACACUUGUGAAGGUUUAAAGCCCUCAACCUUGGCUGUUACGGUGCCUUUCCAUCUGGGUUGGGUUGCUUCUGCGGCUUCUGCCAUGACGAGAGGACAGAGAGAGAGAGAGAGAGAGAGAGAGAGAGAGUGUAUGUGGUUUGGAAGAUUAGAGUAAAUGUGGUUUGGAAGAUUAGCAUUGCCACCUUGCCGUAUUUAUAGGCUAUAAGUCCAAGUUUGUGUUAUUAUUUAUUUGUUUUUUUUGUUAAUAUGUUAUUUAAUUUUUGAGGUUUUUUUAUUCUUAAGGGAACUUUUUUAGCUGUUUGAUCAAAAUUCAGUUCUACUCGAUGAGCCGAGUCAAAAAUGUAAACAGUUCUUCUCGAUGAGACGACUCAAAAAUGUAAAAAAAAAUCAUCUGAUUUUAAAAAAAGAUACUAAAAAAUAAAUAAAACAUUUUAGAUAUUUUUUUAGAUAAUUUUUUUGUUGUUGGGGUAGGCUAGAAAUCAAAUCACACAACAAGAGUGUGUUGAGUUGUGCCCUUAAUUAUUAAAACUCAUUAAGGCUCCGUUUAAUAAUAUUUAAAAAUUAAAAUUUUUUAAGUUUGUUAUUAACAUAGUCAAAAUUUUUUGACUUUUUUAUUUUUUUGACUUUACUUUAGCUACAAUAAAUAAAUAAAUCAUAAUCUUAAAAAAAGUCAACGAAAAAGAUGGUACCAAACCGAGCUUAAGUCACAACACUCACAAGUGAACAGGUCCCAAAUGAAAUUAAACUGCCAUCCAGCGAUGGGGUUUUGAGUCAUAAUCUAUCACGGGUUUGAAACGGGGGUAGGAAAUAAUUUUCUUAAUGGCGGUGGGAGAGGUUGGGACAAAUCUAUAGACUAUACCGAACCCGUUCCGUUGCCAUCCCUAAAAGAUAUUGUAUUGUUCAAAAUUGAACUUCAAAUAAAAUUGAUCCAAUAAUAAUAGGGUGGCCACAAUGCCAGGACAACUAUUGUGGGAGCCACGACUCUCAAUUCACAACACCCACCAGUGAACAGGCCCCAAAUGAAAUUAAAUUGCCAUCCAGUGAUGGAGUUUUGAGGCACAAUCUA
rnacentral:lncRNA from 1 species